rnacentral:rRNA from 1 species
UACGUAGGCAGCGAGCGUUGUCCGGAUUUAUUGGGCGUAAAGAGCGUGUAGGCGGCCUUACAGGUCAGCUGUGAAAACUCGAGGCUCAACCUCGAGACGUCGGUUGAAACCGUAAGGCUAGAGUCCGGAAGAGGAGAGUGGAAUUCCCGGUGUAGCGGUGAAAUGCGCAGAUAUCGGGAAGAACACCCGUGGCGAAGGCGGCUCUCUGGGACGGUACUGACGCUGAGACGCGAAAGCGUGGGGAGCGAACAGG